GACGCAGGGGGCUAGCGUUGUUCGGAAUUACUGGGCGUAAAGCGCGUGUAGGCGGUUGUCCAAGUUGGAUGUGAAAGCCUUGAGCUUAACUCAAGAAAUGCAUUCAGGACUGGAUGACUAGAGGACCGGAGAGGAUAGUGGAAUUCCCAGUGUAGUGGUGAAAUACGUAGAGAUUGGGAAGAACACCAGUGGCGAAGGCGGCUAUCUGGACGGUUUCUGACGCUAAGACGCGAAAGCGUGGGGAGCAAACAGG
rnacentral:rRNA from 1 species